rnacentral:rRNA from 1 species
UACAGAGGUCCCGAGCGUUGUUCGGAUUCAUUGGGCGUAAAGGGUGCGUAGGCGGUCGGGUAAGUCUGACGUGAAAUCUUCAAGCUUAACUUGGAAACUGCGUCGGAUACUAUUCGGCUAGAGGAAUGGAGGGGAGACUGGAAUACUUGGUGUAGCAGUGAAAUGCGUAGAUAUCAAGUGGAACACCAGUGGCGAAGGCGAGUCUCUGGACAUUUCCUGACGCUGAGGCACGAAAGCCAGGGGAGCAAACGGG